GCCCUGUGAUGAUACCAAGGCGAAUGUGAGAUCACUGAAUCAGAGGCUUUGCUCUACUGCACUCCCAUUGGCUGGUGAUCUUGGCAGGGCAGUGGAGUUUUGCUGCUUUGCUGUAAGGGCCAGCCUACAUUCAAGAGACCCACCCUCUUGAUAUCCCUACCUUCUAAAGAAACUAGGAUGGGUUAAGAGGGAGCUUACAGUGGGGUGUGUGUGUGUGUGUGUGUGGAGAGACCAGGUCCUCUGUGGACUUCAGUGAUCUAUGAGCUGCUUCUUUGGUAAUCUGAGGGUA
ensembl:snoRNA small nucleolar RNA U85